rnacentral:lncRNA from 1 species
UAGGGUUUCGAACCUAAUACCUGAGUGUGGAUAAUCAAACUCUAUGAUGAAAAAUGUAGAUCUGAAAGUUUUCUCUGAUUGUUCAUAGCCGCACAAGCAUCUGACCUCUAUGGAUGGUCCACACGAAGCUCCUCAAACCGAUCAAUCCUCCAUGGGAGUGCUAGCUCAUGCAGUCGGCUUCUGGUGGCAGAUCUUACUUGAUCUCUUUCUUUGAUUGCCUCAAAUAUUUUUAAUGUCGAAGAU